AAUGACAGUUAAAUUGAAGAGUAGCUAUAGCUUUUGCUCGGUGAUAAUCACCGUGUCCUUUGCACUUGAUCGUGAAAUUGCCUCUGCUCUUCUCGUGAAACGUACAGUUAUUAGUGAUCAAACCGGUAAAAAACGAUACACCCAUUUGCAGAAACCAUGUUCCUUGCAGAAUCAGACCGAUCCCACGA